UAAGGAAUAUUGGUCAAUGGACGCAAGUCUGAACCAGCCAUGCCGCGUGGAGGAUGAAGGCCCUCUGGGUUGUAAACUUCUUUUAUAUGGGACGAAACACUUCUUUUCUAAGAGGCCUGACGGUACCAGAUGAAUAAGCACCGGCUAACUCCGUGCCAGCAGCCGCGGUAAUACGGAGGGUGCAAGCGUUAUCCGGAUUCACUGGGUUUAAAGGGUGCGUAGGUGGGUUGGUAAGUCAGUGGUGAAAUCUCCGAGCUUAACUUGGAAACUGCCAUUGAUACUAUAGGUCUUGAAUCAUCUGGAGGUGAGCGGAAUAUGUCAUGUAGCGGUGAAAUGCUUAGAUAUGACAUAGAACACCGAUUGCGAAGGCAGCUCACUACGGAUGUAUUGACACUGAGGCACGAAAGCGUGGGGAUCAAACA
rnacentral:rRNA from 1 species